rnacentral:rRNA from 1 species
UACGUAGGGUGCGAGCGUUGUCCGGAUUUAUUGGGCGUAAAGAGCUCGUGGGCGGUUUGUCGCGUCGGCCGUGAAAUCUCCACGCUUAACGUGGAGCGUGCGGUCGAUACGGGCAGACUUGAGUUCGGUAGGGGAGACUGGAAUUCCUGGUGUAGCGGUGAAAUGCGCAGAUAUCAGGAGGAACACCGGUGGCGAAGGCGGGUCUCUGGGCCGAUACUGACGCUGAGGUGCGAAAGCGUGGGGAGCAAACAGG